rnacentral:rRNA from 1 species
CAGUCGCCGCGGUAAUACGAAGGGGGCUAGCGUUGUUCGGAAUUACUGGGCGUAAAGCGCACGUAGGCGGACAUUUAAGUCAGGGGUGAAAUCCCGGGGCUCAACCCCGGAACUGCCUUUGAUACUGGGUGUCUAGAGUAUGGAAGAGGUGAGUGGAAUUCCGAGUGUAGAGGUGAAAUUCGUAGAUAUUCGGAGGAACACCAGUGGCGAAGGCGGCUCACUGGUCCAUUACUGACGCUGAGGUGCGAAAGCGUGGGGAGCAAACAGGAUUAGAGACCCGGGUAGUCCCUGUCUCUUUACA